GAUGAACGCUGGCGGCGUGCCUAAUACAUGCAAGUCGAGCGAACGGACGAGAAGCUUGCUUCUCUGAUGUUAGCGGCGGACGGGUGAGUAACACGUGGAUAACCUACCUAUAAGACUGGGAUAACUUCGGGAAACCGGAGCUAAUACCGGAUAAUAUUUUGAACCGCAUGGUUCAAAAGUGAAAGACGGUCUUGCUGUCACUUAUAGAUGGAUCCGCGCUGCAUUAGCUAGUUGGUAAGGUAACGGCUUACCAAGGCAACGAUGCGUAGCCGACCUGAGAGGGUGAUCGGCCACACUGGAACUGAGACACGGUCCAGACUCCUACGGGAGGCAGCAGUAGGGAAUCUUGCGCAAUGGGCGAAAGCCUGACGGAGCAACGCCGCGUGAGUGAUGAAGGUCUUCGGAUCGUAAAACACUGUUAUUAGGGAGGAACAGAUGUGUAAUUAAAUGUGGACGUCUUGACGGUACCUAAACAGAAAGCCACGGCUAACUACGUG
rnacentral:rRNA from 1 species